AAGCAUCUAAGCGUGAAGCCCCCUCAAGAUGAGAUUUCCCAUUUCUUCGGAAAGUAAGAUCCCUGAAAGAUGAUCAGGUAGAUAGUUUGGAGUGGAAGUGUAGCGAUACAUGGAGCGGACAAAUACUAAUCGAUCGAGGACUUAACCAAAA
rnacentral:rRNA from 1 species